GCGGCUACCAUGCGAGUCGAACGGCAGCACGAGAGAGCUUGCUCUCUUGGUGGCGAGUGGCGGACGGGUGAGGAAUACAUCGGAAUCUACCUUUUGGUGGGGGAUAACGUAGGGAAACUUACGCUAAUACCGCAUACGCCCUUCGGGGGAAAGCCGGGGACCUUCGGGCCUGGCGCUGAUAGAUGAGCCGAUGUCGGAUUAGCUAGUUGGUGAGGUAAUGGCUCACCAAGGCGACGAUCCGUAGCUGGUCUGAGAGGAUGAUCAGCCACACUGGAACUGAGACACGGUCCAGACUCCUACGGGAGGCAGCAGUGGGGAAUAUUGGACAAUGGGCGCAAGCCUGAUCCAGCCAUACCGCGUGGGUGAAGAAGGCCUUCGGGUUGUAAAGCCCUUUUGUUGGGAAAGAAAAGCGAUCGGUUAAUACCCGGUUGUUCUGACGGUACCCAAAGAAUAAGCACCGGCUAACUUCGUGCCAGCAGCCGCGGUAAUACGAAGGGUGCAAGCGUUACUCGGAAUUACUGGGCGUAAAGCGUGCGUAGGUGGUGGUUUAAGUCCGUUGUGAAAGCCCUGGGCUCAACCUGGGAAUUGCAGUGGAUACUGGGUCACUAGAGUGUGGUAGAGGAUAGUGGAAUUUCCGGUGUAGCAGUGAAAUGCGUAGAGAUCGGAAGGAACAUCUGUGGCGAAGGCGACUAUCU
rnacentral:rRNA from 1 species